UGGGGAAUAUUGCGCAAUGGACGAAAGUCUGACGCAGCGACGCCGCGUGUGGGAGGAAGCCCUUCGGGGUGUAAACCACUGUCAGAGGGGAAGAACACCGUCGGCCCGAAUAAGGUCGGCGACUGACGGUACCCUCAGAGGAAGCGCCGGCUAACUCCGUGCCAGCAGCCGCGGUAAGACGGAGGGCGCAAGCGUUGUUCGGAAUUACUGGGCGUAAAGGGCGGGCAGGCGGCCUGUUAAGUCGUGUGUGAAAAUCCGGGGCUCAACCCCGCGAAAUGCUCACGAUACUGGCAGACUGGAGACCGGUAGAGGCUAGCGGAAUUCCUGGUGUAGCGGUGGAAUGCGUAGAUAUCAGGAAGAACACCUGUGGCGAAGGCGGCUAGCUGGGCCGGGUCUGACGCUGAACCGCGAAAGCGUGGGGAGCAAACAGG
rnacentral:rRNA from 1 species